GGGCGGUUAGCUCAGCGGUAGAGCGGCUCGUUUACACCGAGCGGGUCGGAGGUUCGAUCCCUUCACCGCCCACCA
rnacentral:tRNA from 1 species